UAAGCAUUUAUGCUUACAGUUGUUGUGCAUGUAUUUCAGGUACUAGCGAGGACCGUGGGAAGGCGCCGGCAUGAUCGAUACACACUGAAGAUUGUCUUUAUGAUCUUGGGAUUUUGAAUAAAUGUAUUUGACAGAAUACUUAACUACUUAUGCCUUGUUUUAAAUGGAAUUAAUUAUGUUUUAAAAAUGAAAAAUUUGUUUGAAAAAUUUGAGUUGUUACAAUUGGUAUCAGAGCCUUGGUUUGAGGGAUUCGGGUGCACCUUAGGGGGUAACUGAACUCAAACCGAGGAUUUGAGGAAACUUUUCAAAUAAAGGCAUAAACUUUUGUAAAUGGUUUUGUGGUAAGCAAGAAAGAAGCAGUGUGUACGAUCAGUCAGCGCCCGAACGGUAAAGAUCCCCAAAAUACCUUACAAUAUUAUAUGAUAUGAAUUGUUAUGCAUGCUAGAAGACUAGGUAUUCAUGAUAGGACUAGAGUGGCCUGAUUUGUGAUGCCUUAGUCUAGGGAAGUUUGCCUAUAUGAGAUGCUUUGCUAGUAUGCGGGUAGAUAGUGCAUAUCAGAAGUAGAGUACUCACUAUCCGAAGUUUGGGGAGGAGGACUUGGGAUGAACACUGAUGCGGUGUGGUCGGUAGUAUUGGGCCCGUACUACCGAGGACACCGGGUCAGUGGGAGACCCAAGUAAGAAUCCCUGGAUAUCGGGGACGGGGUAGGGUUGCGUUAUCGAGUGCAAUUACACUUGAUGGAGUCUCUGAUAGUUUUAUGUUGUAUUUCAGAGACAUCAUGGUUAGACCACGCCACGGAGCGAGUACGAGCGGUGUGAGUGACGAGGAUAUUCGUCAGAUGAUUCACGAGGAGGUGGCGGCGGCGAUCCGGGCUGAGAUCCCGGAGAUGUUUGGGUCUAUUAAGACCACCCUGAUGGAGACAUUCGAUGAGCGGUACGCCGCGUUGACUGAGGCUGCAACCGCUGCAGCUACCGCAGCUGUGGCCGCUGCUAGGCCACAGGGGGGUGACUCGUUGCUGUUCCGAGAGUUCAGCAACACGAAGCCACCAGAGUUCGAUGGGACGCAGGAUCCGAUUGCUGCGAUGAGGUGGAUCGCAGAUAUAGAGGGGUGCUUCUACACUUGUUCAUGCCCGGAGCACCUGAGGGUACGGUUCGCUUUGAACCAGCUCCGUCUGGGAGCGAAGGACUGGUGGAAGUUCGUGACGGCGAACUUCACUUUGGCAGAGACUACAGCAGUGACAUGGGAGGGGUUUACUGCCAUGUUCAGGGAUGAGUACGUUCCCCCGGUGGAGAGGGAACGAUUGGUUCAGGAGUUCUUAACCCUCAAGCAGGGUACUGAUUCUGUUGCGGUGAUUACGCGGAAGUUUCAUGAGAGGGCGAUGUUCUGCCCCGAGCUGGUGUCCACUGAUCAGGCUCGGAUGAGCCGGUACUUGGGAGUGUUGAGGAGGGAUAUCCGGGAGUUUGUGUCAAACUCCACUUACCAUACUUUUGCUGAGCUUCAGGCGAAUGCCAGGAAGCGCGAGAUCGAGUUGGAGACCCAGGCUAGGGAGGAGGCCGAGUCUCAGCGGGUGGACCGGCGACCGGCUCAGUUCCAGCCGGCAGCCAAGCGGACCAAGUCCGCUGAUUCGAGGACAGGAGGUUCGAAGGGUCGCACUUGCGGGAAGUGCGGCAAGAGUCAUGAUGGAGUAUGUCGAUCUGGUGCUUGCUACAAGUGUGGCAAGGAGGGGCACAUUGCUAGGGAGUGUCCCAAGGGAUUUACGGUUUGCUUUCAUUGCAACCAGACUGGCCAUAGGAAGGCCGAGUGCCCUCAGCUUCUUCAGGGAUCUGCACCUGCUGCCGGAGUUACUGCGACUCGACCGGUGAAGGCCGAGGCCCCGAGGGCUCGGGGAAGAGCCUUUCAGCUGACUGCGGAGGAGGUCCGCGCUGCGCCCGAUGUUGUGGCAGGUAUGUUGUAAUUCAUGUAAUUAUUUUAAUGUCGAUAUGUUAUGCUUAUGUUAUUAUGCGCGUAGGUACUUUCCUUGUGAACUCUGUGCCUGCCUUAGUGUUAUUUGACUCGGGUGCGAGUAGGUCCUUUGUGUCCUUAGCCUUUAGUCAGCAUAUCGGCGUUAGUCGUGAGUCGUUGAGUCGACCUUUGAGAGUUUCUAUAGCUGACGAGAAAGUGAUUUGUGCCACGGAGGUUCUUCGGGGAUGUGUACUAGAGAUUUUCGGGGUUGAAUUCCCGAUUGACCUGAUUCCUAUUGCGAUGGGUGAUGUCUGUGUCAUCGUGGGCAUGGACUGGUUGAGCCGAUUCGGCGCUGUCAUCGACUGUGAGCGUCAGUUGGUGACUAUACGAGACCCUAGUGGGGGAGUUCUUUCGGUGUACGGCGAGGGUACCCGUUCGGGAUCAGCUUUUUGUUCGGCCGCUAGGGCGAGGCAGUGUCUACAGCAGGGCUGUAAGGGUUUUGUGGCGUAUGUGAUGGAUACGCGGGAGGUUUCCGAGAGACCGAAGUCAGUUGAGGAGGUCCCUGUGGUGCGUGAGUUUCCAGAUGUUUUCCCCGAGGAGCUGCCGGGAGUACCUCCUGUGAGGCAAGUAGAGUUUGGUAUCGAUCUGGUUCCGGGGGCCGCGCCUAUUGCUAAGGUGCCUUAUCGUCUUGCACCUCCAGAGAUGCAAGAGUUGUCCUCGCAGCUCCAGGAGUUGCUGGGGAAGGGAUUCAUUCGGCCGAGCAGCUCGCCGUGGGGAGCACCUAUUCUGUUCGUCAAGAAGAAGGAUGGUUCACACCGGAUGUGCAUUGAUUACCGGGAGUUGAACAAGUUGACGGUCAAGAACCGUUACCCGUUACCGAGGAUCGAUGAUUUAUUCGAUCAGUUGCAGGGAGCAUCUUGGUUUUCCAAGAUCGAUCUGAGGUCAGGGUACCAUCAGGUGAGAGUGCGGGAUGAGGAUGUCCAGAAGACAGCGUUUAGGACGCGAUAUGGGCAUUAUGAGUUUGUGGUGAUGCCUUUCGGGCUCACCAAUGCCCCGGCUGUGUUCAUGGAUCUCAUGAACAGGGUAUGCAGGCCGAUGUUGGAUCGGUCAGUGAUUGUAUUUAUCGACGACAUUCUAGUGUAUUCGAGAUCUAGAGAGCAGCAUGAGGAGCAUUUGAGGGAGGUCCUUGAGGUAUUGAGGUCGGAGAAGCUUUAUGCAAAGUUCUCCAAAUGUGACUUCUGGUUGCGGGAGGUCCAAUUUCUAGGACAUGUUGUUAAUCAGAAAGGGAUAUUGGUCGAUCCGGCCAAGGUUGAGGCGGUGAUGAGUUGGGAGGUGCCGAAGUCACCCUCUGAGAUCAGGAGCUUCCUUGGGUUGGCAGGGUAUUAUCGGAGAUUCAUUAAGGAUUUCUCCAAGAUCGCAGUGCCGCUCACCAGAUUGACCCGGAAGGGUGUUGCAUUCUCAUGGGGGCCCGAGCAGCAGACCUCCUUUGAGACACUUCGCCAGAGGUUGUGCGAAGCCCCGGUAUUAGCUCUCCCGGAAGGGAUGGAAGAUUUUGUAGUAUAUUGCGACGCAUCGAUUUCGGGACUGGGUGCAGUGUUGAUGCAGAGGGGUCAUGUGAUAGCUUAUGCGUCGAGGCAGCUGAAGCCUCAUGAGGCGAGAUAUCCCACGCAUGAUUUAGAGUUGGGGGCAGUAGUGUUCGCUCUCAAGAUUUGGCGUCACUACCUGUAUGGGGUUCGAUGUACGAUAUACACGGACCAUAAGAGCUUGAAGUAUUUGAUGGAUCAGCCCAACCUAAAUAUGCGUCAGAGGAGGUGGUUGGAUGUGGUCAAGGAUUAUGAUUGUGAGAUCCUGUACCACCCAGGCAAGGCUAAUGUGGUAGCCGACGCGUUGAGCCGCAGGGCGGAGAGCACUCCAUUGCGAGAUGUAUGCUUGAGACUGACUGUGAUGACUCCAGUAUUGGAUGCUAUUCGUGGGGCACAGGCCGAGGCUGUGCGACCAGAGAUGCAGAAGAAAGAGCGGGUUGUUGGGUUAAUUUCAGAGUUCGUUAAGGAUGGACGAGGGCUUAUGACGUUUCAGGGUCGGAUUUGGGUACCGUUCGUGGGCGGUACGCGUAUUACUUUGAUGGAAGAGGCUCAUAGAUCGAAAUUCUCGAUCCAUCCCGGUGCUACGAAGAUGUAUUUGGAUUUGAGGAAAGAGUAUUGGUGGCCCUGUAUGAAGAGGGACGUCGCAUGGUUCGUUGAGAGGUGCUUGACCUGUCGUAGGGUUAAGGCCGAGCACCAGAGACCGCAUGGCAAGUUACAGCCAUUGGAGAUCCCCGAGUGGAAGUGGGAACAGAUCACUAUGGAUUUCAUCACCAAAUUGCCGAGGACUGCCAGGGGAGUUGAUGCAAUUUGGGUGAUUGUGGAUAGGUUGACGAAGAGUGCACACUUCCUUGCCAUCAGCGAGAGUUCUUCAGCGGAGAAGUUGGCGGAGAUAUAUGUGAGAGAAGUGGUAUCUCGGCAUGGAGUGCCGAUCUCGAUUGUUUCAGACCGUGAUGUGCGCUUCACUUCCAGGUUCUGGAAGAAAUUCCAUGAGGAGCUGGGUACUAAAUUGCAUUUUAGUACCGCAUACCAUCCCCAGACAGACGGUCAGAGCGAGCGGACGAUUCAGACGCUGGAGGACAUGCUUCGAGCGUGUGUGUUAGACUUCGGGGGUAGUUGGGAUGCGUAUUUACCCUUGGCAGAGUUUUCCUACAACAACAGCCAUCAUUCGAGCAUUGGUAUGCCACCUUUUGAGCUGUUGUAUGGUAGGAGGUGUCGGACCCCCAUUUGCUGGGGAGAGGUGGGACAGAGAGUGAUGGGCAGCACAGAGAUCGUGCUUCAGACGACAGAGCAGAUUCAGCAAGUUAGACAGAGGUUAUUGACCGCCCAGAGCCGACAGAAGAGUUAUGCAGACAGGCGCCGAUCCGAGCUUGAGUUUCAAGUCGGCGACUUCGUUCUCCUGAAGGUCUCUCCUUGGAAAGGAGUGAUUCGAUUCAGGAAGAGGGGCAAGUUGGGGCCCCGGUAUAUUGGGCCAUUUCGUGUGAUUGCAAGGAUAGGCCGGGUAGCCUAUCGGUUGGAGUUGCCAGCGGAGUUGGGACAGAUCCACGACACUUUUCAUGUGUCGCAAUUGAGGAAGUGCAUAGCCGAUGAGUCGGCAGUGGUUCCAUUAGAGGAUAUUCAGGUGGAUGCGAGCCUGAAUUAUGCCGAGAGACCAGUGGCCAUCAGGGAUCGGAAGAUCAAGGUUCUGAGGAACAAGGAGGUACCUCUGGUGUUGGUUCAGUGGCAACACCGGAAGGGAUCGGAAAUGACUUGGGAGCCGGAACGUGAGAUGCGGGAGCAGCAUCCGGAACUAUUUUCAGAGUGAGACUUCGAGGGCGAAGUCUAAUCCUAGUGGGGGAGAGUUGUAACAGCCCGGAAUCUCAGGUAUUGUUAAAUUAUGUUUUUGGGGUGAUUUAAGAGGGGACUCGGCGAGUUGGAGCCUAGACUCGCCGAGUAGGAUCGCAGACUUGGUCGCGGGUUCGCGACUGGACUCGACGAGUCCAGAUAUGGACUCGGCGAGUCUACGCUGUUUAGCGAAAACCCUAACCGUUCAGGUUUGGGACGUAUAAAAGGGACUUAUUGGCCGUCAUUGUUCAUUUUAGCCUUCUGAGAAGAACCCUAAAUCGAUUGUGUGCAUCUGGAGCAAGGAUUAUAGGCCAUUGUUGAUUAUAGAAGAGUUGUUGUGCAAGGAAGAGAAGGGAUUGGCUAAAGGAACAGCAAGGGAGUCACAUUCUGAGGAUUGGGGACACAGAGAAUACAUCAUCCAGGUAAGAAUUCGAGUAUACUCUGCUAUGUUGAUGUGAUUAUGGAAUUAGGGUUUAUGGAACCCUUUUGUGAAUAGAUUGAAUGUUACCCUAGUCCCCUAAUCGAUUGUAACCCUGUAUUGGGACCUUUGGAGGUCCAGAAUGUCCCAUGUCUGUGCAUUUCGGGAAUUGAUGAAGGUUUUGGAUUGGAAUCCUUAUGCCUUAGGUCAAAAUGUAAAUUAUGAAUCAUAUGGUGUAUCAUGAGCACUGAAAUGAGGACUUUACGUGAUGGAUCAGCCUAGGAAGGCCAGACCUAGGAAUGGUCGAAGCAGUUCUGACCUUAGGAUGCAGUUUGAGCGGUUGCAUGGCAUGGACUCGCCGAGUUCGAUGAACAGACUCGGCGAGUAGCUUGAAGAUUAACUGGGACUCGUCGAGUUGUUCUUCAGACUCGGCGAGUUGAGUCGGGGUGGCCCCGCGAUUCUUCCAGGAGUAACUCGUCGGGUCAAGGAGGAUACUCGACGAGUAGAUAGGGAAUCUCAGAGAGUUGGAGGACGUCUAGACUCGCCGAGUCGCCAUGGCACUCGCCGAGUCCGGUCGAGUUGACCGUUGACCGUUGACCGUUGACCAGAGUUGACCUAAGUCUGACUUCUUAGGGAUAGUCACACUUAGAAGAUAUAAGUGUUAAUGAGAGAUAUGUGAUGUUAUAGGGAGGUUGUAGCUCGUCGGAUUGUGCACGAGUGAUUUCAGGAUUUGCUAGCUUUCAGCAUUCACGAGGUGAGUCUUCUCACUAUACUGUACCCGGAAGGGUUUGACUGUGUGACCGGAAGGUCAGAUAUGAUAUGUGAUAUGUAUGCUAUAUGUGGUAAGUUAUUUGUUAUAUGUGCUAUGUAUGUUAUGUGGGCCGGAAGGCAAUAUGUUAUGGGCCGGAAGGCGAUUAUGUUAUGGGCCGGAAGGCGUUGUGUUGAGGACCGGAAGGUCAGGGCCUGGAAAGGCGUAUGUGCGUAAGUUGUAUAUUGGGGAACUCACUAAGCAUUUAUGCUUACAGUUGUUAUGUAUGUGUUUCAGGUACUAGCGAGGACCGUGGGAAGGCGCCGGCGUGAUCGAUACACACUGAAGAAUGUUUUUAUGAUCUUGGGAUUUAGACAGUUUGUAUUUGACAUGACACUUAAAUUAUUUAUGCCUUGUUUUGAAUGAAAAUACUCUAUUUUUAAAAUGAAAAAAUUGUUUGAAAAUUUGCGUUGUUACAAUUGGUAUCAGAGCCUUGGUUUGAGGGAUUCGGGUGCACCUUCGGGAGUAACUGAACUCAAACCGAGGAUUUGAGGAAAACUUUUUAAAUAAAGGCAUAAACUUUUGUAAAUGGUUUUGUGGUAAGCAAGAAAGAAGCAGUGUGUACGAUCAGUCAGCGCCCGAACGGUAAAGAUCCCCAAAAUACCUUACAAUAUUAUAUGAUAUGAAUUGUUAUGCAUGCUAGAAGACUAGGUAUUCAUGAUAGGACUAGAGUGGCCUGAUUUGUGAUGCCUUAGUCUAGGGAAGUUUGCCGAUAUGAGAUGCUUUGCUAGUGUGCGGGUAGAUAGUGCAUAACAGAAGUAGAGUACUCACUAUCCGGGGUUUGGGGAGGAAGACUUGGGAUGAAUGCUGAUGCGGUGUGGUCGGUAGUAUUGGGCCCGUACUACCGAAGACACCGGGUCAGUGGGAGACCCAAGUAAGAAUCCCUGGAUAUCGGAGACUGAGUAGGGUUGCGUUAUCGAGUGCGAUUAUACUCGAUGGAGUCUCUGAUAGUUUUAUGUUGUAUUUCAGAGACAUCAUGGUUAGACCACGCCACGGAGCGAGUUCGAGCGGUGUGAGUGACGAGGAGAUUCGUCAGAUGAUUCACGAGGAGGUAGCUGCGGCGAUCCGGGCUGAGAUCCCGGAGAUGUUUGGGUCUAUUAAGACCACCCUGAUGGAGACGUUUGAUGAGCGGUACGCCGCAUUGACUGAGGCUGCAACCGCUGCAGCUACCGCAGCUGUGGCCGCUGCUAGGCCACAGGGGGGUGACUCGUUGCUGUUCCGAGAGUUCAGCAACACGAAGCCACCAGAGUUCGAUGGGACGCAGGAUCCGAUUGCUGCGAUGAGGUGGAUCGCGGAUAUAGAGGGGUGCUUCUACACUUGUUCAUGCCCGGAGCACCUGAGGGUACGGUUCGCUUUGAACCAGCUCCGUCUGGGAGCGAAGGACUGGUGGAAGUUCGUGACGGCGAACUUCACUUUGGCAGAGACUACAGCGGUGACAUGGGAGGGGUUUACUGCCAUGUUCAGGGAUGAGUACGUUCCCCCGGUGGAGAGGGAACGAUUGGUUCAGGAGUUCUUAACCCUCAAGCAGGGUACUGAUUCUGUUGCGGUGAUCACGCGGAAGUUUCAUGAGAGGGCGAUGUUCUGCCCCGAGCUGGUGUCCACUGAUCAGGCUCGGAUGAGCCGGUACUUGGGAGUGUUGAGGAGGGAUAUCCGGGAGUUUGUGUCAAACUCCACUUACCAUACUUUUGCUGAGCUUCAGGCGAAUGCCAGGAAGCGCGAGAUCGAGUUGGAGACCCAGGCCAGGGAGGAGGCCGAGUCUCAGCGGGUGGACCGGCGACCGGCUCAGUUCCAGCCGGCAGCCAAGCGGAUAAAGUCCGCCGAUUCGAGGACAGGAGGUUCGAAGGGCCGCACUUGCGGGAAGUGCGGCAAGAGUCAUGAUGGAGUAUGUCGAUCUGGUGCUUGCUACAAGUGUGGCAAGGAGGGGCACAUUGCUAGGGAGUGUCCCAAGGGAUUUACGGUUUGCUUUCAUUGCAACCAGACAGGCCAUAGGAAGGCCGAGUGCCCUCAGCUUCUUCAGGGAUCUGCACCUGCUGCCGGAGCUACUGCGACUCGACCGGUGAAGGCCGAGGCCCCGAGGGCUCGGGGAAGAGCCUUUCAGCUGACUGCGGAGGAGGUCCGCGCUGCGCCCGAUGUUGUGGCAGGUAUGUUGUAAUUCGUGUAAUUAUUUUAAUGUCGAUAUGUUAUGCUUAUGUUAUUAUGCGCGUAGGUACUUUCCUUGUGAACUCUGUGCCUGCCUUAGUGUUAUUUGACUCGGGUGCGAGUAGGUCCUUUGUGUCCUUAGCCUUUAGUCAGCAGAUUGACGUUAGUCGUGAGUCGUUGAGUCGACCUUUGAGAGUUUCUAUAGCUGACGAGAAAGUGAUUCGUGCUACGGAGGUUCUUCGGGGAUGUGUACUAGAGAUUUUCGGGGUUGAAUUCCCGAUUGACCUGAUUCCUAUUGCGAUGGGGGAUGUCUGUGUUAUCGUGGGCAUGGACUGGUUGAGCCGAUUCGGCGCUGUCAUCGACUGCGAGCGUCAGUUGGUGACCAUACGAGACCAUAGUGGGGGAGUUCUUUCGGUGUACGGUGAGGGUACCCGUUCAGGAUCAGCUUUUUGUUCGGCCGCUAGGGCGAGGCAGUGUCUACAGCAGGGCUGUAAGGGUUUUGUGGCGUAUGUGAUGGAUACGCGGGAGGUUUCCGAGAGACCUAAGUCAGUUAAAGAGGUCCCUGUGGUGCAUGAGUUUUCAGAUGUUUUUCCCGAGGAACUGCCGGGAGUACCUCCUGUGAGGCAAGUAGAGUUUGGUAUCGAUCUGGUUCCAGGGGCCGCGCCUAUUGCUAAAGUGCCCUAUCGUCUUGCACCUCCAGAGAUGCAAGAGUUGUCCUCGCAACUCCAGGAGUUGCUGGGAAAGGGGUUCAUUCGGCCGAGCAGCUCGCCUUGGGGAGCACCUUGGGGAGCACCUAUUCUGUUUGUCGACGAAUAUACUCUCACCAAUCAGAAUAAAAUGAG
rnacentral:lncRNA from 1 species